rnacentral:misc_RNA from 1 species
AGAAAGUAAAAGUCGUAACAAGGUUUCCGUAGGUGAACCUGCGGAAGGAUCAUUAACGAGUUAGGGUCCCUUCGGGGGCCCGAACCUCCCAACCCUGUGCUUAUUACACCUAGUGUUGCUUCGGCGGGCCCGUCUCACGACCGCCGGGGGACCGUGAAACGUCCUCUGGCCCGUUUGCCCGCCGGUGGCCUAAACUUAACAAACUCUGAACCAAAACAUGUCAUUCUGAGUAUGAUGUAACAAUCAAAAACAAAACUUUCAACAACGGAUCUCUUGGUUCUGGCAUCGAUGAAGAACGCAGCGAAAUGCGAUAAGUAAUGCGAAUUGCAGAAUUCCAGUGAGUCAUCGAAUCUUUGAACGCACAUUGCGCCCUUUGGUAUUCCGAAGGGCAUGCCUGUUCGAGCGUCAUUUUCACCCCUCAAGCCCCCGGCUUGGUGUUGGACGGCAUGGUCAGGCGACUGACCCCUCCUAAAGACAAUGACGGCGGCCUAGUUCGACCCCCGGUACACUGAGCUUCUUAACCGAGCACGUACCGGACCCUCGCGGUCGACGGGAC